CCGGCUGGAGCAUGCGUGAUUUCACGCCGCGACUUCUGCCUUCUUUCUAUAAACCCAAACACAUGCGAAGCCCCGCUCUAUACUUCCACGCGUGAACAUUCGCCGUUUGUCACCUCCACUUCCAUCCACUCGCGUCCCUCCCGUGUCGCGGACGCACACCGCAACGCCCAUCGGCCUGCCUUCCUCCCUCACCUGCUUUGGUGUGUGUGAUGUACACACAUACCAUACACUGAGCGAAUAGGCUGUCUUUCCACCGCCGUGAUUGGAGCGUCACGUGAGUUUCACUCUGACACUCACCGCUUCUCGGACUCGAAACCGAGCGAGGAAAACGAAGAAAAAACAGGUGGAGGCACCACGCGUUCCGAUCGAGUGUCUCCGUAAUGCAUCAACUUCGAGACACCCGGCUCACACGCAAGCUAAAAACUACCACCCACGACUCGACAGCGAAAGCCCUCCAUCUUUUGCUUGUUUCUUCCUCAUCUUUGGCCGCACGCACCGCGCGCUGCGCGGUCGCUCAACGGCAUCGAACAUCACACCCAGUGCACCGCCGUACUCCGAGUUGUCGAAAUGGCUUCACCACGGCAUUCUGGACAAGAAACCGCCGCACACACACACUUGCCUGCUUUUCCUCUUCGAGAUGUUCUCUGCCUGUGUGCGCCUGCUCGCUUCCUUUCGUUCUCCUGCUGUCGAUCUUUCGGUUGUGCCGUUUUCGCACCGUUCAUUUCGUGAAGAAGAGAGGGGCACCCCUCACUCUGCGUAGUAUCUCAGCGCCCAGCACACCCCACACCGUAUGCGGUGUAUGCCCAGGCAGCUCCCUCUCCCCCGCCCCCUCCUAUCCCCUGCCAGCGCCGGAGCCCCACUUCUCGUGGUGACAAGGGUCGAGAGUGCCUACGACGUGGCAGGGGGGGGGGGAGUCUGUGCGAUGCAUGGCCACACUGAUGUGUCGGCGGUGGGGCCCUGGGUGGCGUUGCGUCGGGGUGGCCCGCGACAGCGAACACGCUUGUGCCGUCCAUGUGGUAGGCAGGGUGUCGGCGUAGCUGGAACGCAUUGCACCCGGCCCCGACUGCCGUUGCUGGUGCGGGGGAGGGGGCCUGUGUGCCACCCCUACGGGGAUGCACAGCAGGUGGGCGCCGGCGUGACGGGUGCGGGUGUGCGGCGACCUGCAGAGCGCGGCGGUGGUGUGGAGUAUGAGGCGGGGGCCGUGCUCGGAUGGCUGAGCCGGCGCGUUGCUGUAGGGCGUGUGUGUGCAGGGCUGCUUGGCACCACGCGAUGUGCCCGUGACAGGGCCCGGCAUAGCGUGGAGUGCAGCUAAGCUCCGAUGCACCGUGACAGAGAAUGGACAGCAUG
rnacentral:misc_RNA from 1 species